AUAACAAUACAGGACUCUUUUGAGGCCCUGGAAUUGUAAUGAGUCCACUUGAAAUCCUUUAACUCUGAUCAAUUGGAGGGCAAGUCUGGUGCAGAGCCACUGACCCAUGCAUGCUGCAGCUGAAA